GACGAACGCUGGCGGCGUGCUUAACACAUGCAAGUCGAACGGAAAGGCCCUGCUUUUGUGGGGUGCUCGAGUGGCGAACGGGUGAGUAACACGUGAGUAACCUGCCCUUGACUUUGGGAUAACUUCAGGAAACUGGGGCUAAUACCGGAUAGGAGCUCCUGCUGCAGGGUGGGGGUUGGAAAGUUUCGGCGGUUGGGGAUGGACUCGCGGCUUAUCAGCUUGGUGGUGGGGUAGUGUCUUACCAAGGCUUUGACGGGUAGCCGGCCUGGGAGGAUGACCGGACCAGUUGCGCUUGGGCUGCGGCCCAGACCCCUCCGGGAGGCAGCGGUGGGGUAGAUUGCACAGUGGGCGGAGGGCUGGUGCAGCAACGCCGCGUGGCGGAUAUCGUGCUUGGGGUUGGAAACCGCAUUCGCCUGUGACGAAGCGUGAGUGACGGUAAUGGGUAAAGAAGCACCGGCUAACUACGUG
rnacentral:rRNA from 1 species